rnacentral:rRNA from 1 species
GUACUGCAAUGGGCGAAGGCCUGUGGAGCAACGCCGCGUGAGUGAAGAAGGUCUUCGGAUUGUAAGCUCUGUCCUUAGGGAAGAACCGUGGGUAUAGUUAAUGAUACCCACCUGACGGUACCUUUGGAGGAAGCACUGGCUAACUACGUGCCAGCAGCCGCGGUAAUACGUAAAGUGCAAGCGUUGUCCGGAAUUAUUGGGCGUAAAGGGUACGCAGGCGGAUGAUCAAGUCAAGCGUGAAAGGUGUCGGCUUAACCGACAGACUGCGUUUGAAACUGGUUAUCUUGAGUGUAACAGAAGAGAGUGGAAUUCCUAGUGUAGUGGUGAAAUACCUAAAUAUUAAGAAGAACACCAGUGGCGAAGGCGACUCUCUGGGUUAACACUGACGCUGAAGUACCAAAGCUGGGGGAGCGAACGGGAUUAAAUACCCCGGUAGUCCCAGCCGUAAACGAUGGAUACUAGGUGUUGGAGGUUCGAAUCCUUCAGUGCCGGAGUUAACGCAUUAUGUAUCCCGCCUGGGGAUUACGAUCGCAAGAUUGAAACUCACAGGAAUUGACGGGGGCCCGCACAAGCGGUGGAGCAUGUGGUUUAAUUCGAAGCACCGCGAAGAACCUUACCGAGAAUUGACAUCCCGUGACCAUCUAUGAAAGUAGAAUUUGGCACUUAGUGCGACACGGAGACAGGUGGUGCAUGGCUGUCGUCAGCUCGUGUCGUGAGAUGUUGGGUUAAGUCCCGCAACGAGCGCACCCCCUGUUCUUAGUUGCCAGCGAGUAAUGUCCGGGGACUCUAAGAGGACUGCCGGUGAAGUCCGAGGAAGAUGGGGAUGACGUCAAGUCCUCAUGCCGUUUAUUAUCUCGGCUACACACGUGCUACUAUGGCUGAUACAAGAAGGGGAGGC